rnacentral:tRNA from 1 species
UAGACUGUAGCUUAUUUAAAGUUUUUCAUUUACACUGAUUAGAAGAUCAUUUCCGGUCUUU